UAGGGAAUUUUCGUCAAUGGGCGCAAGCCUGAACGAGCAAUGCCGCGUGAACGAGGAAGGUCUUCGGAUCGUAAAGUUCUGUUGAGAGGGAAAAAGGGUCACCAGAGGAAAUGCUGGUGAAGUGAUAUUACCUUUCGAGGAAGUCACGGCUAACUACGUGCCAGCAGCCGCGGUAGUACGUAGGUGGCGAGCGUUAUCCGGAAUGAUUGGGCGUAAAGGGUGCGUAGGCGGCCUGUUAAGUCUGAAGUGAAAGGUACCGGCUCAACCGGUACAGGCUUUGGAAACUGGCAGGCUGGAGGACAGGAGAGGGCGGUGGAACUCCAUGUGUAGCGGUAAAACUGCGUAGAUAUAUGGAAGAACACCAGUGGCGAAGGCGGCCGCCUGGCCUGUUACUGACGCUGAGGCACGAAAGCGUGGGGAGCAAAUAGGAUUAGAUACC
rnacentral:rRNA from 1 species